UCCGAGGCAGCGGUGUGUGCUAACUUCCUGCUGCGGACUAUGCCGAUUUUUGUCUGAGAGGGCCAGAUAUUUUAAGUUUAAGUCACUUUUAUUGUCAGAGCAGAGAGUGGAGCCUUCCCUUUUUGCCGUGGGUAGAUGAGCGGACCGUGUGUUUCACAACAGAAGCGGAGGAGAGACGGGAUCCUGGACUGAUGAGAGCCGUGUAUUGUGCCCUGUGCCUGGAGUGUGUGUGUGUGUACAUGAACUGUGAGCCUCUGGUGAGUAACUUUUACUGAAGUUAGUCUGAUAAAUUGAGUGAAAUGUGCUGCUUCUGCUAAUGUUAAUA